rnacentral:rRNA from 1 species
CGGCAGGCCUAACACAUGCAAGUCGAGCGGAAACGAUGGGAGCUUGCUCCCAGGCGUCGAGCGGCGGACGGGUGAGUAAUGCAUAGGAAUCUGCCCGGUAGUGGGGGAUAACCUGGGGAAACUCAGGCUAAUACCGCAUACGUCCUACGGGAGAAAGCAGGGGCUCUUCGGACCUUGCGCUAUCGGAUGAGCCUAUGUCGGAUUAGCUAGUUGGUGAGGUAAUGGCUCACCAAGGCGACGAUCCGUAGCUGGUCUGAGAGGAUGAUCAGCCACAUCGGGACUGAGACACGGCCCGAACUCCUACGGGAGGCAGCAGUGGGGAAUAUUGGACAAUGGGGGCAACCCUGAUCCAGCCAUGCCGCGUGUGUGAAGAAGGCCUUC